GUGAGUAAUGCAUCGGAAUGUGCGCCGUAGUGGGGGAUAACUUUCCGAAAGGUGAGCUAAUUCCGCAUACGAUCUAAGGAUGAAAGCGGGGGACCGAAAGGCCUCGCGCUAUUGCAGCCGCCGAUGUUUGAUUAGCUAGUUGGUAGGGUAAAGGCCUACCCAGGCAACGAUCCGUAGCUGGUUUGAGAGGGCGACCCGCCCCCCUGGGACUGAGACCCGGCCCCGACUCCUUCGGGAGGCAGCCGUGGGGAAUUUUGGACAAUGGGGGAAACCCUGAUCCCGCCCUGCCGCGUGCGGGAAGAAGGCCUUCGGGUUGUAAACCGCUUUUGGUAGGGACGAAAAGGCUCUAGUUAAUACCUAGAGCUGCUGACGGUACCUGCCGAAUAAGCACCGGCUAACUACGUGCCCGCCGCCGCGGAAAU
rnacentral:rRNA from 1 species